rnacentral:rRNA from 1 species
UGGGGAAUAUUGGACAAUGGGCGAAAGCCUGAUCCAGCCAUGCCGCGUGUGUGAAGAAGGUCUUCGGAUUGUAAAGCACUUUAAGUUGGGAGGAAGGGCAUUAACCUAAUACGUUAGUGUUUUGACGUUACCGACAGAAUAAGCACCGGCUAACUCUGUGCCAGCAGCCGCGGUAAUACAGAGGGUGCAAGCGUUAAUCGGAAUUACUGGGCGUGAAGCGCGCGUAGGUGGUUUGUUAAGUUGGAUGUGAAAGCCCCGGGCUCAACCUGGGAACUGCAUCCAAAACUGGCAAGCUAGAGUACGGUAGAGGGUGGUGGAAUUUCCUGUGUAGCGGUGAAAUGCGUAGAUAUAGGAAGGAACACCAGUGGCGAAGGCGACCACCUGGACUGAUACUGACACUGAGGUGCGAAAGCGUGGGGAGCAAACA